rnacentral:rRNA from 1 species
UACAGAGGGUGCGAGCGUUGUCCGGAAUCACUGGGCGUAAAGGGCGCGUAGGUGGUGGCUUAAGCGUGCGGUGAAAGCUCGGGGCUCAACUCCGAGUCGGCCGUGCGAACUGGGCUCACUGGAGCAUAGUAGAGGCAGGUGGAAUUCCGGGUGUAGCGGUGGAAUGCGUAGAGAUCUGGAGGAACACCGGUGGCGAAGGCGGCAUCCUGGACCAACACUGACACUGAGGAGCGAAAGCCAGGGGAGCAAACGGG